ACUCCUACGGGAGGCAGCAGUAGGGAAUCUUCCACAAUGGGCGCAAGCCUGAUGGAGCAACACCGCGUGAGUGAAGAAGGGUUUCGGCUCGUAAAGCUCUGUUGUUAAAGAAGAACACGUAUGAGAGUAACUGUUCAUACGUUGACGGUAUUUAACCAGAAAGUCACGGCUAACUACGUGCCAGCAGCCGCGGUAAUACGUAGGUGGCAAGCGUUAUCCGGAUUUAUUGGGCGUAAAGAGAGUGCAGGCGGUUUUCUAAGUCUGAUGUGAAAGCCUUCGGCUUAACCGGAGAAGUGCAUCGGAAACUGGAUAACUUGAGUGCAGAAGAGGGUAGUGGAACUCCAUGUGUAGCGGCGGAAUGCGUAGAUAUAUGGAAGAACACCAGUGGCGAAGGCGGCUACCUGGUCUGCAACUGACGCUGAGACUCGAAAGCAUGGGUAGCGAACAGGAUUAGAUACCCUGGUAGGAUAGCG
rnacentral:rRNA from 1 species